GUCCAUCACUGGAGUCCAUCACUGUAGUCCAUCCCUGUAGUCCAUCACUGGAGUCCAUCACUGUAGUCCAUCCCUGUAGUCCAUCACAUGAGUCCAUCCCUGUAGUCCAUCACAUGAGUCCAUCACUGGAGUCCAUCACUGUAGUCCAUCCCUGUAGUCCAUCACAUGAGUCCAUCCCUGUAUCCAUCCCUGGAGUCCAUCACUGGAGUCCGUCACAUGAGUCCAUCACAUGAGUCUAUCACUGGAGUCCAUCAUAUGAGUCCAUAACUGUAGUCCAUCCCUGUAGUCCAUCACAUGAGUCCAUCACUGGAGUCCAUCACUGUAGUCCAUCACAUGAUCCAUCCCCUGUAGUCCAUCACAUGAGUCCAUCACUGGAGUCCAUCACAUGAGUCCAUCACAUGAGUCCAUCACAUGAGUCCAUCACAUGAGUCCAUCACAUGAGUCCAUCACUGGAGUCCAUCACAUGAGUCCAUCACAUGAGUCCAUCACUGGAGUCCAUCACAUGAGUCCAUCCCUGUAGCCAUCCCUGGAGUCCAU
ensembl:lncRNA